rnacentral:rRNA from 1 species
UACGUAGGGGGCUAGCGUUGUCCGGAAUCAUUGGGCGUAAAGAGCGUGUAGGCGGUCCGGUAAGUCCGCUGUGAAAGUCGGGGGCUCAACCCUCGAAUGCCGGUGGAUACUGUCGGGCUAGAGUGCGGAAGAGGCGAGUGGAAUUCCUGGUGUAGCGGUGAAAUGCGCAGAUAUCAGGAGGAACACCUAUUGCGAAGGCAGCUCGCUGGGACGUAACUGACGCUGAGACGCGAAAGCGUGGGGAGCGAACGGG